rnacentral:rRNA from 1 species
UACGUAGGGGGCUAGCGUUGUCCGGAAUCAUUGGGCGUAAAGAGCGUGUAGGCGGUCCGGUAAGUCCGCUGUGAAAGUCGGGGGCUCAACCCUCGAAUGCCGGUGGAUACUGUCGGGCUAGAGUGCGGAAGAGGCGAGUGGAAUUGGCAGUGUAGCAGUGAAAUGCGUAGAGAUUGCCAGGAACACCAAUGGCGAAGGCAGCUUGCUGGGCUUUUUCUGACACUGAGGGACGAAAGCGUGGGGAGCGAACAGG